UUCUUCUUCUUCUCCUCCUCCUUCUUCUUCUUCGUCUUCUUCAUCCUUCUAGAAAGAGAGAGAGACCGACGGCUUCCCCCUUCCUUUUCGAAAUCUCUUCCGCCGCCCCAUCCUUCAUUUGCUUCUCCACGCUGACACAACGCCACUAUCGUUAUGCCGCUCUAACCGUCGAAAGACGACCACCCACGCCGCGCGCCUUGAACCACGGCGUUUUGAAGCGGUUAGUUCAAAUCGACACAAUCUAUUCGAGUGUCCUCGUUGUGUUUCUUUGUAACUGAGUUGUGCAGUACCUAUCCAUCUUUCAUUGUCAUUCGGCAAGUUGAAUCAUUGCUAAUUUCGUUCUUUUCAACUCCGUAUCGUUGGAUCUAAGUUUUUGGAUUUGGAUUUUAAAGGAGUUCAAACCACUGUCCAGCAGUUCGUAAGCUUAAAUUUGGGCGUUCUGGUACAACUUGGGCUAAAUUGAAGUGGGGAAAGCAUAAAAUCCCGGGGGAUCAAGUAAUUGAUUCACCACCCACGGUUGUCAGGGGAUUCUGGGGCUGAAAGAGGCCGUGACCGGAGAUCUGAGAACCUGAGCCUCGGUGAGGACAUGGAUGGAGGAUUGUGAUAUGGCUUCGAGCCUAGCUUAACCCAUGGUGGGUGGCUCUAUGUGCACAUAGGAUCGGUAUGUUGUUACCGUGGUAGGUGCUAAGUAUGCGUGAGCUCCGUUUGGCCGCGUGUUUCUUUGUGGAUAUGGAGCACGUGUGAGCUAUCCUUGGGCCGUAUGCUUAGUAUACUAUCAUGGUUGGGUUGGAUUGGUUGGAUCGGAUUAGAUGGGGGUUGUUAUCGUGGCAGGUACUAAAUAUGCGUGAGCCAGUUUUGGCCGCAUGAUUUUUUUAGUCAUGUGCGAGCUAUCUUUGGCCGUAUAUUUAGAUGCCUUGCCAUGGUUGGUUUGGAUACAGGUUUGUUGGCAUUACUUAUGGUUUAUGGUAAUGAUCAAGGACCAAGCAUUGGUUGUGCUUUUCUGUCAUUGAUUGUAGUUUCUCAUUCUUGUUGUAUGUAUAUAUUUAUGUGUAGUAUUGUAUUAUUGGGUGAUUAGAAGAAGCGAGAGUCACGAUGAGAAUUUGAGUUUGAGAGGUCUUUUAUUAGAUUGUAA